AAUCCAUCGCAUAACGCUCUGAAAUUCAUCACGUAUAGCUCUCAACGAUAGCUCCAUUCAUUAAUCUGCAUCCAUCACCGUAGCUCUCAACGACAAAGGUGCGUUUCUUCUGCAAUCGUGCAGAUCUUCUUUUCCGUUUGCAAUUUGUUUCAUUCGAGUGGUGCCGGUGAAAGCUGCAACGUGAUUGAGUUAAGGAAGAGUUGAAGAUACCAGUUGAUCUUCAAUCGUACAAGUUGGAUCCACAUUUCACCAACGUGCAAGGAGUCAUGUUGCGAACGCCGACUCUGGAGAAUCAUUUCAAUCUGCUAAACCUCAACAUUUUCCAAAACCCUUUCGGUACUCUGUCAAAUAUUACUUGGAUGUAUUUACCAGGUUUUCCAAUCCAUACGUACUCAUUGGCACAGUUAAAUCAAAUCCUUUUCUUUCUCCUGUGAAAUUAUUUAGUCAAAUAAUAUCAAUAAAUUCUUUUGCAUGAACCUCGUAUUCUAUAAAAGAAAAUUUGUAAUGUUUUUUUGAAUCACUUUACUUAAUUAAGUUGUUUUUUGUUUUUACGGGCAAUAAGCAUAACUUCUAUGUCUCUCCUUGCAGUAGAGAAGUUAUGAGAUAUUUCUCUAACAUAUUUCAUUGGCUUGUUCCAGGCCGAAGUAGCUGCUGCUUCAAGAGCGGUUAUAGGCUUGAAUCAUUUAACUGAUGUUGAAAUAGACAAGAUAAACAAACCAUAUCGCCCAUUGGCAUCAAGAGAGUAUUCUUUUGGAGCUGAUGUCAUUCUCACUGCAUCAUGUUUGAUUCUUGUAUUAUAUCUAACAUUGUCCUCUUUGUAAUGCACAACAUGACUCCUAUUUGAUGUUCCUCGUUUAUAGUAUGUUCAAGGAACCAAUUAGUUUCUACAUUAAUAUAUUAGUCAAUUAUUCAGUAUAAUUUUAGAUAUGUAUUUGGAUUUAUUUCCAGUUUUUGUUUGUUCCAUUCUCUUUUUAAUAUCUGAAAUAGAAAGAGAAUCAAUGAAAAUUUUUCAUAAACAGUCUGCUUUCUUUCAAUGUGUAUGUACUUUUGUGAUACUACUAGAGUUCCCCCCUGCCUGGGAUUGUUACAAAGUAAGAAUUCAAAGUCAUUUCAUUUUAAUAUAUAUUUCAUCUGGUCUAUGGCCUUACCGUUGUUAGAAUUCGAUUUUCUUUUCUCUGAAAUGUCGAUCUAACCUUCAAAAAGUUAUACUCUCUUUCAGAAUUGUCUAAUGUAAUGGUUAUUAAAAACUAUCAUUUUA